AUUGAACGCUGGCGGCAGGCUUAACACAUGCAAGUCGAGCGAGCGGCGGACGGGUGAGUAAUGUCUGGGAAACUGCCUGAUGGAGGGGGAUAACUACUGGAAACGGUAGCUACUACCGCAUACCAUCAGAUGUGCCCAGAUGGGAUUAGCUAGUAGGUGGGGUAAUGGCUCACCUAGGCGACGAUCCCUAGCUGGUCUGAGAGGAUGACCAGCCACCCUGGGUCUGAGACCCGGUCCAGACUCCGACGGUAGGCAGCAGUGGUGAAUAUUUCACAAUGGGCGCAAGCCUUAUGCAGCCAUGCCGCGUGUGUGAAGAAGGCCUUCGGGUUGUAAUGCACUUUCAGCGAGGAGGCGUUACUCGCAGAAGAAGCACCGGCUAACUCCAUGCCAGCCGCCGCGGUAAUAC
rnacentral:rRNA from 1 species